rnacentral:lncRNA from 1 species
CGCAGGACUCAGUCUCCAGUCAAAAAUUGUGACCAUUGCACCAAGGCUGCCAAGAGGGAGACCAAUUAGUACAAAGUAAAUA